GACGAACGCUGGCGGCGUGCUUAACACAUGCAAGUCGAACGGAAAGGCCCUGCUUUUGUGGGGUGCUCGAGUGGCGAACGGGUGAGUAACACGUGAGUAACCUGCCCUUGACUUUGGGAUAACUUCAGGAAACUGGGGCUAAUACCGGAUAGGAGCUCCUGCUGCAUGGUGGGGGUUGGAAAGUUUCGGCGGUUGGGGAUGGACUCGCGUCUUAUCAGCUUGUUGGUGGGGUAGUGGCUUACCAAGGCUUUGACGGGUAGCCGGCCUGAGCGGGUGACCGGCCACAUUGGGACUGAGAUACGGCCCAGACUCCUACGGGAGGCAGCAGUGGGGAAUAUUGCACAAUGGGCGGAAGCCUGAUGCAGCAUCGCCGCGUGCGGGAUGACGGCCUUCGGGUUGUAAACCGCUUUCGCCUGUGACGAAGCGUGAGUGACGGUAAUGGGUAAAGAAGCACCGGCUAACUACGUG
rnacentral:rRNA from 1 species